rnacentral:rRNA from 1 species
UACGUAGGGGGCAAGCGUUGUCCGGAAUCAUUGGGCGUAAAGAGCGCGUAGGCGGCCCUGUAAGUCCGCUGUGAAAGUCAAGGGCUCAACCCUUGGAUGCCGGUGGAUACUGCAGGGCUAGAGUCCGGAAGAGGCGAGUGGAAUUCCUGGUGUAGCGGUGAAAUGCGCAGAUAUCAGGAGGAACACCAGUGGCGAAGGCGACUUCCUGGCCUGUUCUUGACGCUGGAGGCGCGAAAGCUAGGGUAGCAAACGGG